CCACUUCUCCACUCCACCAAUUUCCCCACCACACUCAAAGUAUCAGCACCAACACCAACCCCACCUCACCAAACAUCCCACUCCACCAACUCCAUUAUCUUUUGCUCCCCACCAAAUCCUUCUCCCUUCUUACUCAAUAGAUCGCCAGUGGAGCUGUUUAAGAAAAUCCAAUUCGUAUAUUCCAACAGAAUGUUUACAGCAAGCUCAUGCCAACAUCAAAACCAAGUUUCACACAGAAAAAAAAAAAAACCCCGAAAUAACAUCUAUAAUCUCCGAGAUCUCCUUAUUCAAACAGUAUAUGCCAACAAAUUUUCACCAAGAAGAAGAAAACAGAUCAGCCAAUCAAGCACAAAUAGACAAGGUCAAGCGCGAGAGUAAGAACUACACAAGGAGUUAGAGUACCUUAGCAAAACUUUGCUAUCAGGUUGAGCUGUGAUGGGCGAUGAAGUGUUGUUGCUGAGUGGAGUUUUUGUCGAACUUAAAGUAGGCUCAGAAAGGAUACAUGUCUUCAUACAUGUAUCUCAGUUAUGCAUUCCGCUAUAAACACUGAUUAUUUCAGUUACAUCUUCCGUUGCAAACUCUGAUAAUGUUUUAGCCAAGCCCCUAACGAUGCCUUUUUCCUUUUAAGGAAUAUAACGCGUAUACAAGUUCUUUGA